AGCUUUUUUCUUUACCCGAGCUGUAAGGUUAGGACUUUUGCAAUGUUGUUCUCGUCUAAUAUUGCACUUGUCCCGGCCUGCUGGCUAAGGUUAUGUACAAC